CCCUACGGGGGGCAGCAGUGGGGAAUUUUGGACAAUGGGCGAAAGCCUGAUCCAGCCAUGCCGCGUGAGUGAAGAAGGCCUUCGGGUUGUAAAGCUCUUUUGUCCGGGAGGAAAUCCUGACCCCUAAUACGGGUCGGGGAUGACAGUACUGGAAGAAUAAGCACCGGCUAACUACGUGCCAGCAGCCGCGGUAAUACGUAGGGUGCAAGCGUUAAUCGGAAUUACUGGGCGUAAAGCGUGCGCAGGCGGUUUUGUAAGCCAGAUGUGAAAUCCCCGAGCUUAACUUGGGAACUGCGUUUGGAACUGCAAGACUAGAGUGUGUCAGAGGGGGGUAGAAUUCCACGUGUAGCAGUGAAAUGCGUAGAGAUGUGGAGGAAUACCGAUGGCGAAGGCAGCCCCCUGGGAUAACACUGACGCUCAUGCACGAAAGCGUGGGGAGCAAACAGGAUUAGAUACCCUGGUAGU
rnacentral:rRNA from 1 species